CCAAUCACCAUCCACAGCUCGGAUAUCGCUUCCAUCAGGUCCCAAAAGAUUUGUCCAGAAAUGUUUGGUGUUUAACCAAACCCAAAAAGAUAUAAGAAAGUUAAAACAAGAAAUCAUCCGAUUAAGAAAAAGGUGCCACAAUUUUAGAACCCGAUUGGACAAUGCAGAGAAACUUAGUAACUCACUAGCUUUGCAAAAAGUGACAAGUAAAAUGAGAUUGCCAGC